AAGUCGUAACAAGGUUUCCGUAGGUGAACCUGCGGAAGGAUCAUUACCGAGAGUGGAGCCUGGCUCCGCGGGGGCCAACCGCCCCCGACUCUUCACCCUGUGUCAACCGUGCCGCGUUGCUUUGGCGAGGGGACUCCCCGAGCCCGUCGCCGAAGACCAUUGAAAUUUCUGUGUUCACGGCAGUCUGAGUAACACAUCAAUUAAACAAAACUUUCAACAACGGAUCUCUUGGCUCUGGCAUCGAUGAAGAACGCAGCGAAAUGCGAUAAGUAAUGCGAAUUGCAGAAUUCAGUGAAUCAUCGAAUCUUUGAACGCACAUUGCGCCCCUUGGCAUUCCGAGGGGCAUACCUGUUCGAGCGUCAUUUGCUCCCCUCACGCGGCGCGUGGUCUUGGGCGUGCGUCCCCCGGGACGGCCCCGAAAAUCAGUGGCGGCGCGGUGCCGCGGCGAGCGUAGUAGUUAAACCCCCUCGCUCGGCUGGCGGUGUCGCGGUGGCCAACCAACCUGUGAAUCUCACCGGUUGACCUCGGAUCAGGUAGGGAUACCCGCUGAACUUAA
rnacentral:rRNA from 1 species